rnacentral:rRNA from 1 species
CUGUUAACAACGGAUACCUAGGUUCCUAUAACGAUGAAGAACGCAGCGAAAUGUGAUAAGUAAUGUGAAUUGCAGAACUCAGUGAAUCAUCAAAUCUUUGAACGCAAAUUGCGCUAGUAGAAAUACUAGCACACUUGUUUGAGUGUCGU